rnacentral:rRNA from 1 species
UUCGCAUGGACGAAAGUCUGACGAUGCGACGCCGUGUGAGCGAAGAAGGCCUUCGGGUCGUAAAGUUCUGUCGCCCGGGAACAAGGGUACUCGUUAAAUAGGCGAGUAUUUUGAGGGUACCGGGAAAGGAAGCGCCGGCUAACUACGUGCCAGCAGCCGCGGUAACACGUAGGGCGCAAGCGUUGUCCGGAAUUAUUGGGCGUAAAGAGCUCGUAGGCGGUCUGCUACGUCCGCUGUGAAAACCUAGGGCUUAACCCUGGGCUUGCAGUAGAUACGGGCAGACUAGAGGUAGGUAGGGGAGAAUGGAAUUCCCGGUGUAGCGGUGAAAUGCGCAGAUAUCGGGAGGAACACCGGUGGCGAAGGCGGUUCUCUGGGCCUUACCUGACGCUGAGGGGCGAAAGCGUGGGGAGCAAACAGGAUUAGAUACCCUGGUAGUCCACGCCGUAAACGUUGGGCGCUAGGUGUGGGGUCCUUCCACGGAUUCCGUGCCGCAGCUAACGCAUUAAGCGCCCCGCCUGGGGAGUACGGCCGCAAGGCUAAAACUCAAAAGAAUUGACGGA